rnacentral:misc_RNA from 1 species
AAGUCGUAACAAGGUUUCCGUAGGUGAACCUGCGGAAGGAUCAUUACUGAGAGUACCGGGCUCUGCCUGGCUACUUUUACCCAUGUUUUUAGAGUACCAAAAGUUUCCUCGGCGGCUCUGCCCGCCGGUCGGUCUCCAUUCAAACCCUUUGCAGUUGCAGUCAGCGUCUGAUAAACAAAAUAAUUACAA